UUUUGGAUCCGACUGAGUGGCGAACUGGUGAGUAACACGUGGGUAACCUGCCCAGAAGAAGGGGAUAACACCUGGAAACAGAUGCUAAUACCGUAUAACGACAAGGACCACAUGGUUCUUGUUUGAAAGCUGGCCUUUGUGCUAGUGCUUCUAGAUGGACCCGCGGCGUAUUAGCUAGUUGGUGAGAUAAUAGCUCACCAAGGCAAUGAUACGUAGCAGACCUGAGAGGGUAAUCUGCCACAAUGGGACUGGGACACGGCCCAUACUCC
rnacentral:rRNA from 1 species